rfam:Mesotoga prima MPI_scaffold_981, whole genome shotgun sequence.
CCAUGCUAGGCGGGGAGCUGGCGGUUCCCUGUACCCGAAAUCCGCCAUACGCGGGGCCGAAUGCCUUCCGAGGCUUUGCCGGUUUGGUGUCGGUUUGUCUGAAGGUGUUGAGGAUUGAGUCCUGCGCAAUGGGAACUUGCGAACCUGGUCAGGUCCGGGAGGAAGCAGCCAUAAGCAAGCACUCCCGUGUGCCGCGGGGCCGCUCAGUCUGAGCCGGAUGGCAAAUACGGCCAGGUUGUCAAUGUCGACGGAGGAUGCAUGG